rnacentral:rRNA from 1 species
UACGGAGGGUGCAAGCGUUAAUCGGAAUUACUGGGCGUAAAGCGCACGUAGGUGGUUUGCUAAGUCAGCUGUGAAAUCCCCGGGCUCAACCUGGGCACUGCAGUUGAAACUGGCAAGCUAGAGUAGGGUAGAGGGGUGUGGAAUUCCAGGUGUAGCGGUGAAAUGCGUAGAUAUCAGGAGGAACACCGGUGGCGAAGGCGGCGACCUGGGCCAAUAUUGACGCUGAGGUGCGAAAGCCAGGGGAGCAAACGGG